UGCAUCUUUGAUUUACUUAUGGAAAGAGUAAACAGGACAGUUGGUUACAGCACGGUGCUGAUAAUGCCAAGGUUACACGUUCAAUCUCCGUAUAGGACAGCUACAACUUUCUGUAUUGCAGGGGGUUGGGGUAGAUGAUCUCUAGGGUCACUUCCCUUGAGUUCAGAAGAUUGUGCUUCUAGGGGACCUUGGCUCACUUCGCCUGGGCCACGGCUGUUUGAUGGAACCGAAUUUUCCAAUACAAUCAAAUCUCGGUUCUCGAACGGCUCCGUUUUCUAAUGUUUUGGCUCCCAAACGCCAAAAAACUGGAAGUAAAUGCUCUGGUUUUCGAAUAUUUUUUGGAACCCGAACAUCUGACGCGGCUUCUGCUUGAGUGCAAGAAGUUCUUGCAACCAAUUAAAAGCCACGCCUCAGUUGUCAAACAUUUUGGAAGUCGAACGGUCUUCUGGAAUGGAUUCAUGUUUGACAGCCAAGGUUUGACUGUAGUUACUUUCAUGCUGACUGCAAGAUGGAGCCAGUCAGGCGGAAGGUAGGCAUUAUGUAAAAUUGCAAGGAUAAGACAGGUUGCAAGUCGCAGAGUUGCUGCCAUCAUGGUGAUAUUGGCUCCUCUGACAGUGGUCCUGGCCACAUCUGGACACCCAAUUUCCAGCUCCAGCAUUUGUCCCAAUUCACUAACCUCUCUAGGUCAGACUACAACACGUUAUAUGUGGGAUUGCCUCUGAAGAAAGUUCAGCUGAUGCAGAAUUUGGCAGCCAGGUUGCUCACUGGAGUAAGAUGGUUUGAGCAUAUUACACCCAUCCUGGCUCAACUGCACUGGCUGCCAAGUAGUUUCUGGGCCCAAUUCAAAGUGCUGGUUUUGACUUAUAAAGCCCUGAACUGUUCUGGACCACAAUAUCUCAUGGACCACCCAUCCCCACAUAAACAGUUCAUCAUCUGAGACCCUUCUUUGUGUGCCUAUUCCAUGAGAGGUCAGGAGGGUGGCAACAUGAGAACGGGCCUUUUCUGCAGUGGCUCAUUUGUGCACAUUUGUGGAAUGCCCUCCCCAGGGAGGUUCGGCUGGUGCCUUCAUUAUACAUCUUUAGGCACCAGGCAGAAACGGUUCUCUUUUACCAGGCCUUUGGCUAAUUAAACAAUCUGUGGCUUUUAAACGUGGGGUGGGGUGAUAGUUUUUGUCUCUUACUAUGUUACGUAUUUUUGUGUUUUUAUAUUGUAAAACUGCCCUGUGAUCCUUGGAUGAAAGGCAGUAUAGAAAACAAUAAUAAAUAAUAAAACCUCAAA